CUGAAGGAGGGGACAGGCUAGACAUGCAAACCUUCACGAAGAGAGCUUCAGAGCUGUCAAGAGUUAUGAGAGAGCUCAGACUGAGAUUUGAAGAUAGCAAGGCCAGAUUCUAAAGGCACAUUCUAAGUGGCAGAAGGAGGUGAUCCUGGACCAGACAGUUGGUGUGCGCACAUCAAAGAGGGAGGGAGACAGGCAGGCACUUUGGGAGCAAGGCUGGAGGCAGCUGAAAGGGUCUGGAGGUCUGUUUGCUGAGCAGACACCAUCUGUUUACUCCAUCCAGCACCUCACUGCACCAGCCUUCGUGGCAUUUGAAGCUGAAACUGCCUGAGAAAUCAAGCAAGAAACUCUCUGUGACCCUGGGAGGAAAACUGCCAAGGAAAUUGAGGCUCAUCACACCCAGCUGCCAAAGGAGUGCUCGAGUCCUGCUGCUAGACCUGUCUGCAAGCCGUGGCAUCUCGUGUACAGGAGUGUGAAGAGUGAGUGGAGCGUUAAAUAAGGACGUGGAUAAGUGUGGCAAUUCCCUGCUGACUGCCAGAACAGCCUGCAGAGCAGAGACUGAGGCCAGCCUCUCUUCCCCCCCAGGUUUUGCAGUGCCAUCUUUUGUCAAACAUGAAAAAGAAACAAAAAGUGAAUAAAAACACAACUUCCAGCAAAUA